GCCAGGUGUGGUGGGGCACACCUGUAAUCCCAGCUACUCGAGAGGCUGAGACAGGAGAAUCUCUUGUACCCAGGAGGCAGAGGUUGCAGUGAGCCGAGAUCAUGCCACUGCACUCCAGCCUGGGUAACAGAGUGAGACUCAGUCUCAA
rfam:Homo sapiens chromosome 2, GRCh38 reference primary assembly.